GAACGCACAUUGCGCUCCCUGGUAUUCCGGGGAGCAUGCCUGUUCGAGCGUCAUUACAACCCUCAAGCUCUGCUUGGUGUUGGGCCCCGCCGCCCCGGCGGGCCCUAAAGUCAGUGGCGGUGCCGUCCGGCUCCGAGCGUAGUAAUUCUUCUCGCUUUGGAGGCCCGGGCGCGUGCUUGCCAUCAACCCCCAAUUUUUUUCAGGUUGACCUCGGAUCAGGUAGGGAUACCCGCUGAACUUAAG
rnacentral:misc_RNA from 1 species